rnacentral:sRNA from 1 species
AGGGGCUCGAGAGGCCUGGACCUGUGGCGCAUCCUCAGUGAGGAGGGCCGACCUGCACCCGUCGCCGGCCCCGGUCUCCAGGGGCUUCACCCGAGUCAUGCCCCGCUAUUGCGCAGCGAUUUGUUGUAAGAACCGCCGGGGACGAAACAAUAAAGACCGGAAGCUGAGUUUUUAUCCGAAAGAAUUAUUCCAUAUUUAUUACGACUGAGACAAAUUAAGGAUGAAACUCUUCAGGCUGCAGUUAGAGAAAUUUUGGCCCUAAUUGGCUAUGUGGAUCCAGUGAAAGGGAGAGGAAUCCGAAUUCUCUCAAUUGAUGGUGGAGGAACAAGGGGCGUGGUUGCUCUCCAGACCCUACGAAAAUUAGUUGAACUUACUCAGAAGCCAGUUCAUCAGCUCUUUGAUUACAUUUGUGGUGUAAGCACAGGU